UGGGGAAUUUUUGGACAAUGGGCGAAAGCCUGAUCCAGCAAUGCCGCGUGCAGGAUGAAGGCCCUCGGGUUGUAAACUGCUUUUGUACGGAACGAAAAGCCUGGGGCUAAUAUCCCCGGGUCAUGACGGUACCGUAAGAAUAAGCACCGGCUAACUACGUGCCAC
rnacentral:rRNA from 1 species